UCAGACCAAGGGAAUAAGAAGGCAAAAUCCUGAGAAUUAUGUUCUGACUGUGACUUGGCAGACUAGUGGUGAUGCUACAGAAGCACUGUGUGUAUGCAUUCUUAUAUUCCUUUGCCCACUUUGUAUCUGUAUUGACUCAUCUGCUUCCACUCCCCCAGGAAGCCAACAGCAGUUUCAUGACAUCCCUUGGAGAUUCCAGCAGUGUAGAAUAAAGAACACUCUCAAAAACUCAGUGAAGGUCACUUGUGAUUUUGAAGCAAGACAGUUGCAGAUCUCAUUGCUGCUGUGUGGAUCCGUCAGGCUAAGCAUAGCUUUUCACUGGCAUCAGCAAUCAUGAGAUUUGCCCCAGGAACCUGCUGCACACCCAGGUCAGCAAAGCCACUGCUUCUGCCAGCACUAAACAGAGACUGCAAAGUCCUGCUUGCUCUAAAAUUAAAGCUCUGAAUUCAGCAGAGCAUGUGGAUGUUACCUCGAAGUGAAAGUGUUGGAAUUUCUGGAACUUGAGGUCUUGCUUGAAGUAUCUACUGAUAGAUAACAUCUAUUUCAAAGCAAAAAUUCACUCAACCCUACCUGAAUGGACUUCUCGGUCAUGGGGAUCAUGACCUCUUAGGAGGUAAGGCCUACACCAAGUCCAAUUAGCUAAUCUUGGUUCAUGGUUAGCAAUGGGGACGGGGACUCGAUAUUUAUAUCCUGUUUCUCCAACUUCAUGGAAAGAAGUUCUAGUAAAAUAAAA